AGCAGUGUGGAAUAGUUGAAAAAUCACUGGAUUUAGGAUCCGAGCACUUGGGUUCAAAUCCCAGCUUUCCUA
rnacentral:tRNA from 1 species